GCUAACACCGGGCCGGGAGCCGCGGUAAGACGUAGGUGGGAAGGGUUAUCCGGAAUCACUGGGCGUAAAGGGCAUCUAGGCGGCUUAGUAAGUCAGAAGUGAAAUACCGGGGCUCAACCCCGGGACUGCUGUUGAAACUGAUUCGCUAGAAGACGGGAUAGGAGGGCGGAACUACAAGUGUAGAGGUGAAAUUCGUAGAUAUUUGUAGGAAUGCCGAUGACGAAGGUAGCUCUCUGGACCGACAUUGACGCUGAAGUGCGAAAGCUAGGGUAGCAAACAGGAUUAGAUACCCUGGUAGUC
rnacentral:rRNA from 1 species